AAUUAGUAAAUUAAAAAAAAAAAAUAUUUUAACUUGCAUUUCUUUUGACGUUCAUGUUUAUAUGAUUAGAUUACAACUAAGUUUGUGAAUGGCUUGUUUAUAUUAUUUCAGAAUUUGCUAUUUUAGACACUUGGUAUAAGCUGUCAUACUACACGUGGCUUGUGAUAUCCCACUGUAAGUUUGAAUUAGUAAAUUUAAAAAAAUUGUAUUUUAACUUGCAUUUCUUUUGGCAUGCAUAUUUAUUAAGCUUAGUUAAGACUAAGUUUAUAUCACACUUUUUUAACUAUUAUUCUACUAUAUUCUAUAUUCACUAUUAUUUUAGAAUUAGCUAUUUUACAUAGCAAUUAGCUAUGUGACUAGUGGUAUGACAUUGUAAGUUUAAAUAAGUUGUAAAAUUAUUUUUUUUAUAUAGUUGCUUGCGUUUUUUUGGUUUGCAUAUUUAAUCUUGUUUUGAUUUAUCAUAGUUUUUAAAAGGUUAGAGACCUUAUUUUUGCUCCUGAUAGGUAUUGAUGUAUGUGAAAUGUAUAGAGUCGUUCAGUUAUCAGAUAAUGUCAAGGAGUUGACAGCAUGGUGUCCGAUUUAAAGUGCGAACCUGUGUACGAGUAACAACAGUAAUCAAAACCAAAACCUAUUUAAACCAACCAAACCAAAACUAGCGACCAAAAACUAAUAUCUUGGCAUUGCUUUAUUUUAAACAUCUAUUAUAUAUAUGUGUGUGUUUUAUAUAAAUGU
rnacentral:lncRNA from 1 species